rnacentral:lncRNA from 1 species
AGUCCCUCGACAGCCUCUCACAACAUCAUGUUCCGCCUCGUCUUCGCCGUCUUGCUGCUCUGCGCCGUCGCCCUCGCGGCUCCAGGCUUCGGCGGUUUCGGUGGCGGAUUUGGACAUGGCGGUGGAUUUGGUGGCUUUAGACACGGCGGUGGAUUUGGAAAAUUCGGACAUGGUUUUGGCCACCACGGUGGAUUCGGUGGCUUCGGGUUUCCUUGGUGAUACGUUGGAAAGGAAGACUUUUCAGCCGCUCAUGAUUCCCCUCAGCUGGACGUACGCUCGCUCUAACCAACUUCUUCUCAUUUUAUUAUUUUUGAGAUGUCAUUGAUUUUCUGCGAUCUAGUGUACGACGCAAAUAUAAUUUAAACAAAU